rnacentral:piRNA from 1 species
UACCUACUUUGUGUAAUGCAAUCACAGC